UCCUAUUUAAGAAGAAAAAUCAUAUUACUUUCUUAAUCUUUCUAAUUCUAUUCUCAUAAGAUGGUCUUGGAUUUGUUCCUUUAGCACAGGCUCUUUAGUGCAGUCCUGAUUUCUGUAUUAAUGAAUUGAGAAGAUGACAUCAGGCUCUUAGGCAUCCACAUUUGGAAGCAAUGACCUGUGUAGGAAACAAUUUCUGUGGUGAAACUGGAAACCAGGAUCAGACUUAAUAACUAUUCAUCAAGCAGGUAAACCACAUUCCUGUAUGUUGAUUUCCUGUUAUUCAACUGGUAGGCAGAACUUUCUGAGAUGGAAGUUGUGGUAGUUUAAGAGAAAGUAAAAUGGGGUCACAUUAAUCAUGGCCUCUGACGUUUUCACUCAAGUGCAUGAAGGAGGCUGAGCAAGAAUUUCUGACAUAACCAUCACUCUGACUUUGGCUCGAGUGGGUUGUCAUGAUCAAAUGACUUCUUUUGCCUGGUAUGUGCUCUUCUGCUUUUUACAUCCUUGAUAUCCCAGUUUAUACAUGUGCACAUGCUGUCUUCCUCCAGGACACCACAACCCAUAGUGAUAAUUGCACUGCUGAAGCUACCCGCUGUGUUAAAGGUCAGCAGAAGGGCCUCAGCGGUGAAGUGGCACUUGCCUAUCAAAAUGCAAAAUACUGGGGUGAAAGAAGUAAAACUCAGCUAUUAUAUGUUACAAAACUUGAGACAUUCAAAGUCGAGUAUAUCAUUCUCAUGUUCCAAUACCCAGAGAAGAAUGUCACAGCAUGACUCCAUCCUCGUGAUGGAGACUGAAAGAAGAAUGAAAAAUAAUGCAAAGUUAUCUCCUUUUUGUUAAAUCUAUUGUAAUCUUGUGUUCUUCCUCUGUUACUACACUGCAAUAAAGACAUUUUAAUCCCAGGGUACAACUGAGAAAAGCCCUGAUCUAAUAAUUGUAAAACCUCCCGAUCCGAUAUUUUAGAACUCAGAGUACUUGUCACUUAUGAAUAUUCAUACAGACCACUAAAAGAAUUAUAUUCUGUCUGCAGUUAAGGCAGGAAAAGAACAUGGUAAAUUCUAAAGAGACAGCAGUAUUUUAUGGAACACUUGUCAAAUAUUAAGGGCAUCCACAACAAAAUUCUUGCAGGAAAAUUGUUCAGGAGGAGUGUAUAGAAUAGUGAUAACAUCAUUAUGGAAUAGAUCUUUUAGAGGCAAAAAAAAAAACCACAGGAAUUCUUUUCAAGUAUUAGAAACAUUGGAAUUCUUCAAGGUAACCUGUUAAUGUGCAUGUUCAUGAGGGAGGAUCCAUGCUUCUCAGCUAAGACAUUGAAUGUAAAAGGCUCAUACAAACUUUGCAAAAUAAACUAGAAAACCAAAUUGAACACUUUUUUUUUUUUUUUAAUGGAACACAAGUUUUUAAUUGAAGAAGAAAUUUGCCCCCAGAAAGCAAACCCAUUUUACAACAUUUUACAGUGAAGGUUAGUUAAAAAUGUGCAAUAUUUUGCAGUGGUUCAUAUCUCUUCUUUUGUGAUUAAGUUAACUGCAGAAUUUCUUCAUAGUAAAUUAUUAAAUGUUUAACAAGAUUCUUUUCCAGUGCCUUCUGACAAGUCAGUGUUUAUAUAUAAAAAGGUCUAAUCUCAUCCUGGCAAGAAAUGGACUUGUUCUCGCAGCAGAUGUACUAACCCAAGAAGAUACUUAGCAAGCUGGUUUGGUGGACUGAUUUUCAUCUGAAAAGUGGGAGACUUCUUGUGCUUACAAUAUUCCUGGAAGAAAUGAAAGUGGUGUUUUAUGAAUUCUUCCAUUAGUAAACAACUUAAAAAUAAAGGUAAGGUAAUGUUGAGACCUCUAAAACCAGAGGCUGAUGGUGGUGUACCGGCUACCAUGGUGAUGCUGAAAGGAAGGGAAUGCUCUCACUUCCUCUCUGUCAUUUCUCUUCCUUUCAUCCCUUUGACCCUUCCUCCUGGCCAGACAGUGAUCCCCACCUUCUAUGAUUGUCCCUCUGAAUCUACAUUGGUGGGGUUUCUUCCUCCACUUCUCAUUCAUACACCAGGUAUCCCUGCUUGCCGUGUAUCCUUUGUGUGCAUAAUACUCUAUUCUUUCAUUGACUAAAUGAAAUCAGAUUCCUGCUCCCAUGUGAUGUCACAUGUCCCUGCUCAGCCAGUCCCACCCAGGACCAUCAGCAGGUGCAGACGCUUUUCUGCUUAGCUGAGUCUACAAUCUGAGCUGCUGAACUUUCUAGACUUAUGGGAAUGGAGUAUGCAACUCAUCUUUCAGGUGACGUGUGUAAGGCAAAAAGCAAUACUGACACGCUGCGGUGCAAGAGCAAAAAGCUGUUUUUAAAAUUCUGGAGGGGAAGAGGAGGCACAAGAAACUUUGUAAAGCUCUGGAGCAACAUGUGAAGAAAUCUGCCUUCAUUCUUCUCUCCUUCCAUAUAAACACUGAGUUUUCUGUACGUGUGUUUGGACCAAAUGACUGAAACAGUCUGUGGGAAUCAGUGCUUCAAACAAGAUGGCAUUCUUGCUCAACUCUUUGUUCCCCUUCUAUGAGAUGAUGAACUAGGGAUAUGCUGACAAAGUGUCUGGAGACCUUUGGGAACAAAGCUGAGGAAAAUGGAGAAAAAUUAUUCGAUUAUGUGUAUUUUUUUCAGAUUUUUUUAAAAAUUAUUUUCAAUACCUCUUCUAGUGAAGAUUUAACAGAGUUGAUGAUGGUUCCACACACCUUUUUGUGAGAAGACUUGUAGUUCAUAAAAA